rnacentral:lncRNA from 1 species
AUGGCAGAGAUGUUUCCGACCGUUUCUUCGGGACCUUGGGGUUUUCUUCGUUGCCGUUGCUGUCGUCAAGAAUCAUCGUCGGUGGCAGUGGGUCGAGAAUCAUCGGCUGCUGUCGCCGUUGCUGUCGUUGUUAGAGAAUCGCCGUUGUAUCGCUGUUGGAGAAUCGCCGGUGGCAGUGGGUCGUUGGGACCUUGGUUUGUUGAGGUUCUUCUUCUUUGUAGAAAUCGAUGGGUUGAGAUUUAGAUUGAAAAGGGUUUUGAACAGGUAGAAGAGGAAGAAG